ACUGUAGUGAAGUACAUAUGCGUCAGAGGCGGUUCGUGGGCCAGGCUAGCAGCGUGGGCAGAUGGGUUUCUAGGCGGCCGUCGACCGCCGACGAGGUGAGCCGUGGAUCAGGUUCUCGAUUUCCGUCUGCUCCGUGGCUCAGAAAAGUCGCUGCUCCAUGCAUUGAAUGCAAGGUGUGUCUGUUUUGUCCCAACGCGGCCGUCAUUUUGGAGAUUCAGAAGCAAGGAGGGGAGAGAGUGGAAGAACAGGCGACCGACAGGAUGGCUCAUGCAAUCAGGAGAUCCAAUCUGAUUGAGGAGGUUGGGGGAGAUUCUAGUGCUGGAAGGGUCGCCGGCACAUGGCGCCAGGCGGACAGUGGUCAAGGUGACGCUGCAGGAGGCCACGGGUGUGAGCGCCAAAGGGCGGAUCUGCGGCGUGGCUGAAGCGGCGGCAGUGGCAAGGGGCAGCGGCAGUGACAAGGGGCAGCCCGCCUCUGACUUCCGAGCUGUCGACGGGGAAGAUGAAUCCUCAGGCUCCUCGUUAGAACAAGAGGUCAUAUAGAUUGGUUGAAUUUCCGGGUGUCCAUGGUGCGAGACGAAUUGGUGUGCAAAGUGCAAACUUUUGGUUUAAUUUCUGCGGGGAAGACUCCAUGGUGUGACAUGAAUUAGCGUGCAAACUGUCUGUUCUGAAUUGGAAUUAAAUUCAACAUUGCUAUGAAGAUUUACGCUUUUAGGUUGAGGAUUGGAGUCUCUGCCCCAAGCUUGACACCUUGCUCACCCCGCAUAAGCGCUUUUGAGAAGGCAGUUAGGGUCUUCAUAGAAAACCCGACUGAAGAUGAGCCAUGGCUUGUAAUUUGGCAGUGGUAAUCUGGUUCGCGGACCAGGAAAUUCGCUUUCCGUUAGGUGGAUGGCUUGAAUCAUUCGCUGCAGGCCGGUGGCUCCCCGACUGCGGUAUCCAAAUCCAUUUCCAGUCAGCGGGGUGCUGCAGCGCACAUGACUCCAUUCCAGUGAUGGAGUUCCUAAUGCAGCCAAUUAGAAGGUAUCCUAUUGUGGAGGAGGUGAGUGAGAGUGAGCAGGAGAUGGAUCUGCCAGCGAACAGGGCGGUGACGACUUUCCUGAUAGAUGAACCAUCGGCGGCCUAUCCGCGUAGAUGUGUGAGUUACAGAACGUCGUGUUGGGAAGAUGGAAGAGCCCGUCGCAGCAGUCUGAACUAUCAACUGGUAAGAUGAACCUGCAGGCGCUGUGAUGGUCUAAAAGGUGCGCGCGUGUAAGCUUGGAUUGGAUCUGAAUUUAUUGAGAAUGCUUGAAUGAAAUUGUAGUAGAAUGCAUAGAUCUAUCGAUGUAGUGACAUUCAUUCGGUAGCAUGAGAAAUUGUCUACAUGGAACUUUUAGAGCACGUUUGUAUUAAUAAUUGACUACACUGUACUAGUUGAAAUUAGCUCAUGAUUGAGCAAUUCUGUAGAAAAAAAGUACAUGCCGUUCGGACAAUUUGUCGGUUGAAAAACCAUAACCAGAGUGUGAUCUUAGCUGGCGUCCUGGUACACGAUGAGACCGUGUAGAGUUUUGAGUGGUUUUUUUUACUGAAUUCUUGAGGAUUAUGGGACCUGUAGCACCAAGGACAAUCCUAACAGGUAUGUUGAUUAAGGACAUUUCUUAAAAAGAGUACUUGAAGAUGGUGCUGGUAGUAUGAUGAUAUGAUUGUUUCUUGUUUUUGUUCAUGUGCAGACCAGAAUCGAGCUGCGGAGGUCGCAAUUAAGAGUGUGAUGCUUGUUGGUGUGCCGACGGCCGGGGCACAAGAGAACUACUCCCUCCGUUUCUAAAUCCUUGGAAGCCGACGAGGUGCAAAAAUUGUGGUGUGGUGGGGCACCAAAGGAAUAAUUUUACGAAAGCAAUGGACCUGAGGUUAGCUGGUGGCGUGUAGUGGUGAGUGAAAAAUGCCAAACGAUUUCAGUAAGUUUGAAUGGUCAAAGUGUGACUUUGUUUUCUGCAUUCGUGAUGUGUUUGUGCAACUGAGCACCUGCCCUGCGUGCAGGCAUGCUUUAUGUCUCGAGUUGUAAUACAAAUGUAUUCAGUGAUGCAUUAGUGGGUGCUGUGAAGUAUCUAGGGUUGAAAAAAAUAUCCUUUUUUCAGUUGGGUUUAUGGAAGGUGAACUGCUUAAUUAGAUGAAACCAUGCAAGUGGACUGAAUUUCUAUAAUCAGUUGUUGUUUUGUAUGCUUGACGGAAGUCUACAGCCGGGCAGAUGGAUAUAGUCGUCAGUGCGGGCGACGACGGCUCUAUGGUGACCUUGCAUGCAGGUAUCAGCAGAUGAUGCAGAGGGGACAUUGUCGAGCAAGCGUCAAAUGUGGCAAUGCAGAGUGAGGAUGCAAUAAAGUAUUGGACUGACGCUUCAGAAGGCGUGACACGUUCCACUGGACUAGGUGCCGGAAUAUGAUCCAGUCAACCUGGCGGCUGUUGAUGUUGUUAGGGAGGGCUAAGGUGAUUAUGAUCCAGUAAUGAAUCAUGGAGAUGAGUCGAACAAAUUGUUCGGUGUCGACAAUGGAUCCGUCAUCCGUUGCUGGAAAUGGGUGUGUUAUUCCGACGAGGAGUAUGCAGAAGUGAGAAAUUCUGAACCAAAACGACAGCGGCUCGUUUUGGGAAGAACCAGGAUCAGUUUGCUGGCGUUGCGUCGGGUAAUGAUGUCAUUACCCGCCUAGUGCUAGUGUUGUGAUGCAAUCCAUGUACAAGUUUGUUGUGUUGUCAUGGUUAAUUAAGAUUCAUAAUCAUCAUAUCACAUUUGUCU